GAUGAACGCUGGCGGCGUGCCUAAUACAUGCAAGUCGAACGAAACUUCUUUAUCACCGAGUGCUUGCACUCACCGAUAAAGAGUUGAGUGGCGAACGGGUGAGUAACACGUGGGCAACCUGCCCAAAAGAGGGGGAUAACACUUGGAAACAGGUGCUAAUACCGCAUAACCAUAGUUACCGCAUGGUAACUAUGUAAAAGGUGGCUAUACUACCGCUUUUGGAUGGGCCCGCGGCGCAUUAGCUAGUUGGUAGGGUAAAGGCUUACCAAGGCAAUGAUGCGUAGCCGAAUUGAGAGGUUGAUCGGCCACAUUGGGACUGAGACACGGCCCAAACUCCUACGGGAGGCAGCAGUAGGGAAUCGUCCACAAUGGGCGAAAGCCUGAUGGAGCAACGCCGCGUGGGUGAAGAAGGUCUUCGGAUCGUAAAACCCUGUUGUUAGAGAAGAAAGUGCGUGAGAGUAACUGUUCACGUUUCGACGGUAUCUAACCAGAAAGCCACGGCUAACUACGUG
rnacentral:rRNA from 1 species